rnacentral:rRNA from 1 species
AACGAACGCUGGCGGCAUGCCUAACACAUGCAAGUCGAACGAGACCUUCGGGUCUAGUGGCGCACGGGUGCGUAACGUGUGGGAACCUGCCCUUAGGCUCGGAAUAACUCCUUGAAAGGGGUGCUAAUACCGGAUAACGUACUCGGAUCAAAGAUUUAUCGCCUUUGGAUGGGCCCGCGUUGGUUUAGCCUGUUGGUAGGGUAAAAGCCUACCACGGCGACGAUCCAUAGCUGGUCUGAGAGGAUGGUCAGCCACACUGAGACUGGGACACGGCCCAGAAUCCUGCAGGAGGCAGCAGUGGGGAAUAUAGGACAAUGGGCUAAAUCCUGAUCCAGCAAUGCCGCGUAAGUGAUGAAGUCCUUAGAGUAAUAAAGCACUUUUACCCGGGGUGAUAAUGACAGUACCGAGAGAAUAAGCACCGGCUAACUCCGUG